GGGGGUGUAGCGCAGUUGGGAGCGCGUUUGAAUGGCAUUCAAAAGGUCGAGGGUUCGAUCCCCUUCAUCUCCACCA
rnacentral:tRNA from 1 species